rnacentral:lncRNA from 1 species
UUAAUUUUUUAUUUUUUUUUCCCUCAAAGAUUGAUUUUAUAGAUAUUCAACUGAUACAACACCAACCAAGACCAACGAACACAUGAUUAAUUGUUGUCUUGUUGUUUUCUUUAGUAGUUAUUUUUCUUGUGAAAAAAAAACACUUGAUAUGAUUAUUAAAUGGCUAUUUUGAGUUCAAGUUUCAUGAUAUUAAAUAUUUUGAGUUCUUGUCUCAGAUUUUUACCAGGCAAGAGCACAACAUGAAAA